rnacentral:tRNA from 1 species
UCCCUGGUGGCCGAGUGGGUUAAGGGUCCAGCAUUGUCACUGCUGUGGCUUAGGUUCCAUCCCUGACCCAAGAA